rnacentral:lncRNA from 10 species
CUCCAGCAUCCGCCUGGCACCUGACACCUCCCUGCUAGCCAGUCCCAGAGAGCUCUUUUCCUCCAGACUAGCUGGGGCUGGAACUGCUUAGAAUCGGACCCAGAAGAGGCCGAGUUCCGUCCAGGACUAAAGGCAGCCUCCAGGGAAUAAAGCUGUCAGUGUGGGCGCAGACUAGGGAAGGGGCACUAGGUCGUUCAAGCUGAAUGCUGGGGUUCCACAGCCUCCUCACACCCCCUUUAGUGCCUCAGGUAGAGUAGGCUUGUGGGGACACUGAGGUUUCCUCAGGUCCUUUCCCUGCUCAAUAACUCUCCAUGGCUCGCCACUACCCACUGCAUAAAGCCCUAACUCCUAUACCUGGCAUUUGGGAGCCUCUGUGAUUCCACUUCUUCAGUCUCUUCUCCUCCCUAAGCCCCCAUGCCCCAGCCACAGGGGCUACUUAGGUGCCCCUCCUGCUCCCCUUUCCCCUUGCACCCAAACCUUCUCUGCUCAUGUGCUAUUUCCUGGGGCCUUCUCUAGGGCUCAUUCCCUAGUUGGAGUUAAAUUCUGCUUCCAAGGAAUCAGCCACCCAAAUAACAAACCAGUCCACCUGAGAAUCUAGUCUGUGAUGCAGCGUCAAUAGCUUCUGAUGAAUUUGCUUCUGACCAGUAGCCUCCAGGGGUCAUAAAACAUUCACAGAGAGGAACACAGAGAAGAUGUGGGUCUUCAGGCUCAGAGAAGAGAAGGCAUUGUUUGCCCAUGAAUGUUUGCAAGUAAAUAGCAGAGCUGGGACUCAAAGAGUCCGGAUCUGGGGCUCCAUCAUGAAUCUCUAAGAGUGGCCCAGAGAUUCUCACGUUCCCUAGGUAAUCAUUCUGGCAGUCUGCUGCCUUUGCACAUGCUCUUCUCUCUGCUGAGAAUGGCCUUCCCUCAAUCCAUCUGGUGAACUCCUAUUCAGUCUUCCAAACCCUGCUUAGCAUGACCUCCCCCUUCCCAGAUGCUCUCUCUACUCACUCUCCUUCCCCUGUGGUACAAGUUCUGCACCUGUACAGAUUCUUAACCCUCUACGCUUGACUUGGUAUUGUUGCUGCUCAUUUCCCCUCUUGCUCCUCCUCCAGCUUGGGGCCUCCAUGAGGCUAACAAUGGGGUCACAUGUCUCUGUCCCUGGGAAAGUGGCCAGCAUGGGGCUGGCCCAGAGAAGGACAAGGUGGCUGUUUGGUGAGUGUGACCCAUGGGCUGAGUAAGGCAGACCCGCAACUGGGAAAAGGCAUAGACUGGAUGUGCUAAGAAACAAGGAGCUGUGGAGAGACUUUGAGGAGGGAAGUAGCAAAACCCAAAAGUCAUUCACCCACGUGCCUCAGCUGCAGAACCUGUCCUCAAGGUGCUCACAGGCUGAGGGAAGGCAGACAGAGGACAAGUGGCAACCUACAAAACACCAAAUGGUAAAGGAGAGAAAGAUUUCCACUUGGGAGAACCAGGGACACUUCCCGGAGGAGGAAGGACCCAUGGUGCUUUUUGGCAUGGUGAGGUCGGGGAGGGCUUCCCAGGCAGAGGAGACAAGCUGAGCAAAUGUGUGGAUGUGAGUUGCUGGUGUGAGGGGCGAGGCUGAGCGUGUAAACUGGUGCCAUGAAGAAGGACCGUGAUGGCCAGGCUUGGCCCUUACUCCCUCCAUGACAAUUUCAGACAGAUGAGCAGGAGAGUGGCAGGGUGCAGGACUGGAGGACAAAAGACCAGAGGAGAUGGAGGCCCUGCAGACAGCAGGG